AUUCCAGCUCCAAUAGUGUAUAUUAAAGUUGUUGCAGUUAAAAAGCUCGUAGUUGGAUUUCUGGCGGGAGCGAUCGGUCCUUCACUCAGUGUUGGAACCUGAUUGUCUCCUGCCAUCCAUGGAGAAAACUUAUCUGGCAUUAAGUUGUCGGGUAGGCAAUCUCCAUCUUUUACUGUGAAAAAAUUAGAGUGUUCAAAGCAGGCUUAUGCCGUUGAAUAUAUUAGCAUGGAAUAAUAAGAUAGGACUAUGGUACUAUUUUGUUGGUUUGCGAGUCAAAGUAAUGAUUAAUAGGGACAGUUGGGGGUAUUCGUAUUUCAUUGUCAGAGGUGAAAUUCUUGGAUUUCUGAGAGACGAACUACUGCGAAAGCAUUUACCAAGGAUGUUUUCAUUG
rnacentral:rRNA from 1 species